UGCCGAUUUAUUGAAUGAGCAAAAGAAUGGACAGCUAUAACUAUUUAACUGGUAAACUUUUAUAUCAAAGAUUCAAAUUGCGAAAAGAAAAAAAAAGGUCCAAAACCGACCAACAAAUUUUACAAGCGAAAUGUUAAGAGGUAUUAACAAACACACAUAUAUGUAAACACAUCCCCAUCAUUCCUCGAAAAAAAGAAUGAUAAUAAAAAAUCUAAUUAAAAAAAAAAUAAUAUAAAAUUUAAAACAAAAGACACGUUGUUAAUUGCAUCAAAACUUAAAUAAAAUAGAGAAUGGAAAAGGGGAAUGUGUCAAAGGGACAGCAGCUUGUCAUAGAUGCGUUCAUAAGAACGGGUUUUACGAACAAAUUUAGAAAACUAAAUCCAAAAUGUUAACAGAGUCGGUUCUUGAUAUAUUACUCAAUUUCCAUGAUAUAAUCAGAAAAUUUGAUGUGUAUGUUUAUAACAUGAAUUUAAGAUACAAAUUGGAGAUAAACG
rnacentral:lncRNA from 1 species